UACGGCGGUCAUAGCGGGAGGGUCACACCUGGUCUCGUUCCGAUCCCAGAAGUAAAGUCUCUUUGCGAUUCGAGUGGUACUACCUUAGGUGGGAACCUCGAGACGCUGCCGGCC
rnacentral:rRNA from 1 species